rnacentral:rRNA from 1 species
UUUUAAAUAAUAAUUUUAUUAAAAAAAAUUAAAUGUAAAUCAUUAAAUUUAAAUAAUUUGGCGGUAUUUUAAAUAGUUAGAGGAAUUUGUUAAUUAAAUGAUAAUCCACGAAUGGAAUAUCCUAAUUAAGUUUUUAUAUAUUGUUGUAUUAAAAUUAUUUUAUAAGAAUAUAUAAUUAAUAUAUUUAAUUUAAUUAAAAUUCAAAUCAAAAUGUAGAAUUAUUAGGUUUCAAUGAAUUACAAUUUAUUAAAAUAAUGAAAUUAUUUUUUUAAUUAAAAUAAUAAAAGAGGAUUUAAGAGUAAAUGUAAAUAAGUAUUUAAGUUGAAA